rnacentral:misc_RNA from 1 species
CGCCCGCCAGUCGUCCGCCCGCCAGGACCUCACCGAUGAUGACUUAAAUUAUUUUAAUAAAAUCUCAAGAUUUUUUUCUUUUCUCCAAAAGACUGUAGUGCGUUGUGUCGUGUAGUGUUUUAUUUUUACAAUUAUUUAGAUAUUUAAUUGGACUUUCCUGUGUUUAUCCUGUUUUGUUUUUUCGGUACUCGCGGUCGAGUGGAGCAGAAAAGUUUAUAAAGAUACUGGUCACGCAUCUGACACCUUACGUGAAGGUUAUACACGAAAAAUCGUUGAACGAAUCGUUGAAAUUGCCAAGAUCCCCACACAUGUCACACUAGCCUCCAAGAUGGUCGACACACAACACUUCUGCCUGCGGUGGAACAACUACCAGAGCAGCAUUACCUCUGCGUUCGAGAACCUUCGAGACGAUGAGGACUUCGUCGACGUUACCCUCGCCUGCGACGGGAAAUGCCUCAAAGCGCACAGAGUCGUCUUGUCAGCGUGCAGUCCUUACUUUAGAGAGCUGUUAAAAUCGACGCCAUGCAAGCACCCAGUGAUCGUGCUGCAAGACGUGGCAUUCACAGACCUCCACGCCCUGGUGGAGUUCAUCUACCACGGCGAGGUCAACGUGCACCAGCGCAGCCUCUCCUCAUUCCUGAAGACGGCUGAGGUCCUCCGCGUUUCCGGCCUCACACAGAACGACGAUGCACAAGGACCGCUGGUGCAGAGCCUCGCCCGCGCGGCCGCCGCCGCCGCGUCGUCCCCGCACACCCCGCCGCAGCCCGCGCACACCCCGCACACGCCCAGCUACACCGAGAAGCUCGAGGAAGCUCUCAUGUCUCACCAACCACCCACAAACCUCCAGCCUAUGCGCCGUAUCCCGAUCCCGCCGCGGCGCAUGAGCCGUUCAGCAGACAACUCCCCUGACGUCAUCAAACGCGUCCGCCACGACAACAACAAUACUGAACAGCCGCAGAUCCACGCAACAGACUUCUCUACCAAGAACCACUCUAUGAUGAACAACUCGCGCCAUGAAGGCGGUAAUAACGGGAAUGGUAUCUCUAACAGCAGCUCGUCACCGUCUCCAAGGCUCAUGGAUGAAGUCAAGAAUGAGCCCCUGGACAUGAUAUGCGGGUCAAACGCCGACAUUGACAGGAGCACCGAUGACACGCCCCCACACUCCCACAGGCCAAUUGGAGGCGGGCCGCCCUCACACAGCUCUGCAGAGGCCGAAGACCGCACGCCACCGCCGCAGCUACCACCGUCGCCAUUCAUACAACCAGCUGACACAAAACUAUUCGCUCCAUCUAACACUUACAACUUCAGCAUGGCGGCUCUAACUGAACACCCAUCUCUGGCCGGUCUCUCAAGUCCACUUACUCCAGACGGCAUGGCGAGCACAUCCCAAGGUAAAAAAUUAUUCUCCUGCUCGCUAUGCGGGAAGGUUUUGUGCUCAAAGGCGUCUCUGAAGCGGCAUAUCGCCGAUAAGCACGCGGAGAGGCAAGAGGAGUACCGGUGCACGAUAUGCGAGCGGGUAUACUGCUCGCGCAACUCGCUGAUGACCCACAUAUACACCUACCACAAGUCCAGGCCGGGCGAGACAGAGCCAAUCGGGCGGUUUUUUUAGUGACUACUUGGACGGAGUUGGCGCGGCGUGCGGCAGCACUCGUCUAGCAAAGAGAACCAACACAAUCUACACCCCGCCGUUCUUACCAUCGCUCAAAAAGCUGUCCCGCCCCUCCGUAUGCCCCCGCCGACGGCCGGCGGUAUUAACGAGCCGCAAGAGUGUCCCUACUGCCGCAGGACAUUUUCUUGUUACUAUUCCUUGAAACGACACUUCCAAGACAAG